rnacentral:rRNA from 1 species
CCUACGGGUGGCAGCAGUCGAGAAUCAUUCACAAUGGGGGAAACCCUGAUGGUGCGACGCCGCGUGGGGGAAUGAAGGUCUUCGGAUUGUAAACCCCUGUCAUGUGGGAGCAAAUUAAAAAGAUAGUACCACAAGAGGAAGAGACGGCUAACUCUGUGCCAGCAGCCGCGGUAAUACAGAGGUCUCAAGCGUUGUUCGGAAUCACUGGGCGUAAAGCGUGCGUAGGCUGUUUCGUAAGUCGUGUGUGAAAGGCGCGGGCUCAACCCGCGGACGGCACAUGAUACUGCGAGAAUAGAGUAAGGGAGGGGGAACCGGAAGUCUCGGUGUAGCAGUGAAAUGCGUAGAUAUCGAGAGGAACACUCGUGGCGAAGGCGGGUUCCUGGACAUUAACUGACGCUGAGGCACGAAGGCCAGGGGAGCGAAAGGGAUUAGAUACCCUAGUAGUC